rnacentral:rRNA from 1 species
UACGAAGGGGGCGAGCGUUGUUCGGAUUUACUGGGCGUAAAGGGCGCGCAGGCGGCUAUCCAAGUCAGGCGUGAAAGCCCCGGGCUUAACCUGGGAACUGCGUCUGGGACUGGGUGGCUAGAGUUCGGGAGAGGAGAGUGGAAUUCCCAGUGUAGAGGUGAAAUUCGUAGAUAUUGGGAAGAACACCGGUGGCGAAGGCGGCUCUCUGGACCGAGACUGACGCUGAGGCGCGAAAGCGUGGGGAGCGAACAGG